GGAGAGAUGGCUCAGUGGUUAAGAGCACUGACUGCUUUCCAGAGGUCCUGGGUUCAAAUCCCAGCCACCACA
rnacentral:tRNA from 1 species